rnacentral:rRNA from 1 species
GAUGAACGCUGGCGGCGUGCUUAACACAUGCAAGUCGAACGAAGCAAUUUCUCACGAUCCCUUCGGGGUGACGAGUUAUUGACUGAGUGGCGGACGGGUGAGUAACGCGUGGGUAACCUACCUUGUACAGGGGGACAACAGUUGGAAACGACUGCUAAUACCGCAUAAGCGCACAGCUUCGCAUGAAGCAGUGUGAAAAGUUAUUUCGGUACAAGAUGGACCCGCGUCUGAUUAGCUAGUUGGUGAGGUAACGGCCCACCAAGGCGACGAUCAGUAGCCGACCUGAGAGGGUGACCGGCCACAUUGGGACUGAGACACGGCCCAAACUCCUACGGGAGGCAGCAGUGGGGAAUAUUGCACAAUGGGCGCAAGCCUGAUGCAGCGACGCCGCGUGAGCGAAGAAGUAUUUCGGUAUGUAAAGCUCUAUCAGCAGGGAAGAUCAUGACA